AAUCUAUGAUGAGAACAUAGUCUUAUCAUAUCUUUAUAUCUUUCCCAUGUAUCAAAAAGUGAUUCUCCUCCGACUUGUUUAAAUGUAGUUAUAUGAUUCCUUAAUACU